CCCCCCCCCCCCCCCAUUGCGCAGACGCGGAAGCUUUUGGUAGCCGGUUCCUGAGACUGCGUGGGGAAGAGUUCGCCGCGGGUGGCACCCUGUCCCAGGUCUGGCCUCGGCAUGGCCGCCCUGCUUGUGAGAAGCGCGGUGGCUUCGCUCGUGGACCCGCUCCUGCACCUGAGUCGCCUCGCUGCCGUGAAGCCCCGGGCCUUCUCGUCCUUCCUGCUGGGGACCCUUCCAAGCGCCAGACCCUGCGCAGAGGUGCGCUCACUUCUCUGUGGCCGCCCCCUGCCGCAACUGCAGCCCUCGCAGGGCUUCAAGACCAAGGGUGUCAUCAAGAGGCGCUGCAGGGACUGCUACAUGGUGAAGAGGCGUGGGCGCUGGUUCGUCCUCUGCAAGACCAACCCCAGGCAUAAGCAGAGGCAAAUGUAAGGGCCAAUGCCCGUGGGAAAUUCGUUUCGUCGUAUCAAAGAAAAAUAAAUAGGAACACGAAAGCUGAGCUUGGCUUUCCAGAGCGAUCCUGAAACACAGCCAGGUACCAUUGACAAGAGUCCUGUAGAAGGAGCCCUAGGGGACAAAAGCCUGCUGCCGGCAUCUGACACACAGGGACUUCUCUGUUCCUUUCUGAUACUAGAAGUGAGCACAGAGCCUCAGAGUCAUCCUAAGGUACCUCAAGGCGGUAAAGGGUGGUAUCUGCAUCCCCUUGGAGCUUUCUGAGACUAAGAGGACACUUUGUUUGCUUAGGCCUGUGUGAGGUUCUCCUAGGACUAAAGACAGUGUGUUUCUUUCCUUUUUGUCCCCAGGUCAAUGGUGACUGGCCAUGGACUGGGUAGGGGGAAAGGCUGCAGAGUCACCUCCUGGCUAUACGAAAUAGUUCU